rnacentral:tRNA from 1 species
ACCCCCACCCCUGCUUUAGGGACCCCGACAAGAGCCGCUCUGAGAUCCCAGCACCGCAGCCCCAUUUAUAUCACGCUUCAUGCAAAUCCACGGCUCCAAAAUAGUGCACUCCUAUUGGUCAAUUCGGCCGUGAGGGCGUGGCUUUCUGCAAUUACCUUCGCUGAUUGGACAAUCCGCCUUUUACCCUCAACCAAUCACAGAGCGCCGUGUGCACGCAGCCCCCGCCCACUCGCCUCGAUUAAUCGCAGCGGCGAACUCAACGCGACGCCCCGCCCCCCCGCGCGAGCCGAGCCAAUGGGAAGCGCGCCGCACCCUCCGCCCCGCCCACCGCUGUGCGAGCAACCAAUCAGAACCGCGGUGACGGCAUAAAGGGGGGGGCGAAGGCGGAAGUGCGCGCUCAGAGCGAUUCGGCGGCGGUGGGGGAGGGGAGGGGUGGGUUUUUGGGGUUGAAAUUUGAGUUUUUUUGGUAAAUCUGCGAAUUAUUUUCGCUGCCGGCGCGGAUUCCACCGCCGGAGCCACAGCGUCGUUGGUUCUUUUUGUUUUUUUUUUUUUUCCUUUUUCAAUUUUUUUUUUAAUCUUUUUUCCUCUGAAAGGGAACGCAUGUGCGGCAUUGGUGGUUCAGUGGUAGAAUUCUCGCCUGCCACGCGGGAGGCCCGGGUUCGAUUCCCGGCCAAUGCAUUCCGAUGGAGAGAGUGAAAAAGGGAAGGGAUUUCGAGAGAAAACAGCCGGAAAAAAAAGGGGGAUAAUUUAUCCCAUUCGGGUACUAAGCAAAGGCCACGCGUGUCCUGAGGUCACACCGGGUGACACCUGCCACCAGGUGACAUCAUUGAGCCAUGGGGUGACAACGCUUCCGGGUGACAUCGUGCCACCGGGUGACACCCAUCAGCAGGUGACAUCGAGCAGCCAGGUGACAUCGAGCCAGCGACUGACAUCCGCCACCGGGUGACAUCCGCCUCCGGGUGACAUCCAUUGAGCCAUGGGGUGACACCUCUUCCAAGUGACAUCGUGACAUCGGGUGACAUUCACCUCCAGAAGGGCUGAAGACACAAUCGGACUGUGG